GUCGUCAGCUCGUGUCGUGAGAUGUUGGGUUAAGUCCCGCAACGAGCGCAACCCUUAUUGUUAGUUGCCAGCAUUGCGUUGGGCACUCUAGCAAGACUGCCGGUGACAAACCGGGGGAAGGCGGGGAUGACGUCAAAUCAUCAUGCCCCUUAUGACCUGGGCUACACACGUGCUACAAUGGGAAGUACAACGAGCAAGCCAAGCCGCAAGGCCUAGCGAAUCUCUGAAAGCUUCCCUCAGUUCGGAUUGCAGGCUGCAACUCGCCUGCAUGAAGCCGGAAUCGCUAGUAAUCGCGGAUCAGCACGCCGCGGUGAAUACGUUCCCGGGA
rnacentral:rRNA from 1 species